rnacentral:rRNA from 1 species
GAUGAACGCUGGCGGCGUGCCUAAUACAUGCAAGUCGAGCGAACAGAUAAGGAGCUUGCUCCUUUGACGUUAGCGGCGGACGGGUGAGUAACACGUGGGUAACCUACCUAUAAGACUGGAAUAACUCCGGGAAACCGGUGCUAAUGCCGGAUAACAUGUUGAACCGCAUGGUUCUACAGUGAAAGGCGGCUUUGCUGUCACUUAUAGAUGGACCCGCGCCGUAUUAGCUAGUUGGUGAGGUAACGGCUCACCAAGGCAACGAUACGUAGCCGACCUGAGAGGGUGAUCGGCCACACUGGAACUGAGACACGGUCCAGACUCCUACGGGAGGCAGCAGUAGGGAAUCUUCCGCAAUGGGCGAAAGCCUGACGGAGCAACGCCGCGUGAGUGAUGAAGGUCUUCGGAUCGUAAAACUCUGUUAUUAGGGAAGAACAAAUGCGUAAGUAACUGCGCGCGUCUUGACGGUACCUAAUCAGAAAGCCACGGCUAACUACGUG